CGAUGUCCUGGCCCCCUCGGGGACAGCUGGAGCCGGCGUUGGCGACGAAGGAGACGGCCAGACGCCCGGGAGCACAUAGCGGCCGGAGCCGGCUGCACCAGGCUGCUGCUUUGUCCGUCUGUCGCCCGCCCGCCCCCUCCCCGCAGGCAGCGUCUGGGGGCGGGGCGGGCGGGAGCCACACCCCCGCCGGGUUGGCCGCAGUCUGGAUGCGCGCGUCCUGUGUGAAGCAGACUCGGGAACUGCCUGGAUGUGGUUUGGGACAUGAGACCUCAUCAUAUUGAUGAGCAAAACCACGAGAACAUUUCUGCCCUCCCCCCUUGGAAUUGAAAUGGCACAUCAAGACUUGUCACGGCUUCUCACUGGGA